CUUGAUCGACCCCAGCCACAACGGCUCGUCCCGAUCCUGACCAUAGGUCGCCAACAAGGCCUGAGCCUC
rfam:Kutzneria sp. 744 genomic scaffold supercont1.1, whole genome shotgun sequence.